rnacentral:rRNA from 1 species
AGCAGUCGCCCGCGGUAAUACGAAGGGGGCUAGCGUUGCUCGGAAUUACUGGGCGUAAAGGGAGCGUAGGCGGACAUUUAAGUCAGGGGUGAAAUCCCAGAGCUCAACUCUGGAACUGCCUUUGAUACUGGGUGUCUUGAGUGUGAUAGAGGUAUGUGGAACUCCGAGUGUAGAGGUGAAAUUCGUAGAUAUUUGGAAGAACACCAGUGGCGAAGGCGACAUACUGGAUCAUUACUGACGCUGAGGCUCGAAAGCGUGGGGAGCAAACAGGAUUAGAGACCCCGGUAGUCCCUGUCUCUUAUA